rnacentral:rRNA from 1 species
AACGAACGCUGGCGGCAGGCCUAACACAUGCAAGUCGAGCGAGGACUUCGGUUCUAGCGGCGGACGGGUGAGUAACGCGUGGGAAUGUGCCCUUCUCUACGGAAUAGCCCUGGGAAACUGGGAGUAAUACCGUAUACGCCCUUUUGGGGAAAGAUUUAUCGGAGAAGGAUCAGCCCGCGUUGGAUUAGGUAGUUGGUGGGGUAAUGGCCUACCAAGCCGACGAUCCAUAGCUGGUUUGAGAGGAUGAUCAGCCACACUGGGACUGAGACACGGCCCAGACUCCCACGGGAGGCCGCAGUGGGGAAUCUUAGACAAUGGGGGCAACCCUGAUCUAGCCAUGCCGCGUGAGUGAUGAAGGCCUUAGGGUUGUAAAGCUCUUUCAGCUGGGAAGAUAAUGACGGUACCAGCAGAAGAAGCCCCGGCUAACUCCGUG